AAUGGAUCCCAUCUGUGGGGCCUGAGUUUACCAUCCCUGGAUCACUGACUUUGAGAAAGGAAAGCAAGGACUCAUAGUUUCUAGCUUCUAAACUCAUUAUGGACUUAAACCUCUCAUUAAUGAGAAAGACCAUCCAGUGAGAAGGUAACUCUGGCCAGGAAUUAUAAAACUGCUUCCUUAUCAGGCUUGAGUUGAGAAGUUGGUGGCCCAGAGUUGUGGUGUGAAGCAGUCUUGCUGCCCUGAGAGAAUGAAGGGGACUGGAGAGCCUGUUCUAGAACCUGGACAGUAAACAAUGACAUUAAUCGGGACCCUCCAGAUAAUGGAAGAGAUAAGCAUGAGGGCCUCGAGUUUGGACUCCAGGCUCUAACUUACCAUAAGUUCAGAAGAGAGGAAGACUUUUGGGUUAUGUUUAUCAGAAAAGGUAAGACAUUGUAGAGGAUGAGAGAAGAUGAAUAUGGCAAAGGAAAGAGAAAAUGUCCAGGAACAAGAGAAGUGGAGCAAAAGGUGAACAGCUACUGAAACUGGACUCAUUAUGCCUUCUUACCUACUUUUACAUAAUA